rnacentral:rRNA from 1 species
AAAAGAUACCCUGGUAGUCCACGCCGUAAACGAUGAGUGCUAAGUGUUGGGGGGUUUCCGCCCCUCAGUGCUGCAGCUAACGCAUUAAGCACUCCGCCUGGGGAGUACGGUCGCAAGACUGAAACUCAAAGGAAUUGACGGGGGCCCGCACAAGCGGUGGAGCAUGUGGUUUAAUUCGAAGCAACGCGAAGAACCUUACCAGGUCUUGACAUCCCGGUGACCACUAUGGAGACAUAGUUUCCCCUUCGGGGGCAACGGUGACAGGUGGUGCAUGGUUGUCGUCAGCUCGUGUCGUGAGAUGUUGGGUUAAGUCCCGCAACGAGCGCAACCCUUAUUCUUAGUUGCCAUCAUUCAGUUGGGCACUCUAAGGAGACUGCCGGUGAUAAACCGGAGGAAGGUGGGGAUGACGUCAAAUCAUCAUGCCCCUUAUGACCUGGGCUACACACGUGCUACAAUGGACGGUACAAACGGUUGCCAACCCGCGAGGGGAGCUAAUCCGAUAAAGCCGUUCUCAGUUCGGAUUGUAGGCUGCAACUCGCCUAC